UACGAACCGUGCGAACGUUGUUCGGAAUCACUGGGCUUAAAGGGCGCGUAGGCGGGCUGCCAAGUCUGGGGUGAAAUCCUCCGGCUCAACCGGAGAACGGCCUCGGAUACUGGCGGUCUCGAGGGAGGUAGGGGCGUGCGGAACUAAGGGUGGAGCGGUGAAAUGCGUAGAUAUCGGAAGGAACACCAGUGGCGAAAGCGGCUUCCUGGUCCGACACCGACGUUCAGGCACGAAAGCGUGGGGAGCAAACAGG
rnacentral:rRNA from 1 species